CAAAGAAUUGAUGGAAAAGCUUAAAGAUCAAACGUCCAUCUCAAAAUACUGAGUUUACAAAAGCAGAAUACAAAAAAAAAUGAAGUGAAAAUGC
rnacentral:sRNA from 1 species